GACCACGUAGCUCAGUUGGCAGAGCAUUGGACUAGUAUCCCUAAGGUCGCGGGUUCGAUUCCCACCGUGGCCA